rnacentral:rRNA from 1 species
GCCAAACAGCUAGCCUGAACUCAUCCAUAACCAAAAAGUAUAAAUAAAAAAGCCAUUUUAACGUACUAAAACAUUUUACCAUCCUAGUAUAGGCGAUAGAAAAGACCUUCAGAGCAAUACAGAAAGUACCGCAAGGGAAAGCUGAAAAAGAAGUGAAACAACCCAAGGAAGCAAGAAAAAGCAGAGAUUCAACCUCGUACCUUUUGCAUCAUGAUCUAGCAAGAAAGCCCAAGCGAAGAGAGCUUAAGUUUGACCCCCCGAAACCAGGGGAGCUACUUCGGAGCAGCCCAAAGGGGCAAACCCGUCUCUGUGGCAAAAGAGUGGGAAGACUCCUCAGUAGAGGUGACAAGCCUAACGAACCUGGUGAUAGCUGGUUGCUCAGGAAAUGAAUAUAAGUUCAGCACCAUGCAGUUCUAAACCCCUACACACAAGAGAAGAAGCAAAGCAUGGUAGUUAGUCGAAAGGGGUACAGCCCUUUCGACAGAGGACACAACCUUAAUGAGGAGGAGAAGGACCUAAACCCAAGGAGCCUCCCUCAGUGGGCCUAAAAGCAGCCACCUGUAGAAAUAGCGUUAUAGCUUAAGAAAGACACGACCAACAAUAACAGUAAACCAAACCCAACCCCCUUAAAAUACUGAGCCCCCCUAUAAGAAUAGGGAAGAUAAUGCUAGAAUUAGUAAUAAGAGGGACAUGCCCCUCUCCAAGCACAAGUGUGAGUCAGGCAGAACUAAUCACUGACAACUAACGGACCCAACAGAGGGGAUAGCAAAGGAUAAAAAUGAACAAGCAAACCACGCCCCAACCGCCGUCAACCCAACACAGGAGUGCAUCAAGGAAAGACUAAAAGGUGGAGAAGGAACUCGGCAAAAUAUGGACCCCGCCUGUUUACCAAAAACAUCGCCUCUUGCAAACAUUGAAGUAUUAGAGGUCCCGCCUGCCCUGUGACAGCAGUGUUUAACGGCCGCGGUAUUUUAACCGCGCGAAGGUAGCGUAAUCACUUGUCUUUUAAAUGGAGACCUGUAUGAAUGGCAUAACGAGGGUCUGACUGUCUCCUACACCUAGUCAAUGAAAUUGAUCUGCCCGUGCAGAAGCGGGCAUACCUACAUAAGACGAGAAGACCCUAUGGAGCUUUAGGUAAAUGAUCAAGCGAAACAAGUCACGGCCAUAGUAAAGGCCUAGAAAAACAAGAACUAAUGAUCAAGAUGCCUUCGGUUGGGGCGACCAUGGAGGAAACAAAAGCCUCCAAGUGGAAAGGGAAAACCCUUGAACCAAGAGAGACACCUCGAAGUAACAGAAUUUGUGACCAAAUAUGACCCAGGAUUUUAACCUGAUCAACGAACCCAGUUACCCUAGGGAUAACAGCGCAAUCCUCUCCCAGAGUCCCUAUCGACGAGGGGGUUUACGACCUCGAUGUUGGAUCAGGGCAUCCUAAUGGUGCAGCCGCUAUUAAGGGUUCGUUUGUUCAACGAUUAACAGUCCUACGUGAUCUGAGUUCAGACCGGAGUAAUCCAGGUCGGUUUCUAUCUAUGAUCUCGCUUACCCCUAGUACGAAAGGACCGGAGUAAGGGGGCCUACAAAUAAACAAGCCCCACCUCAACCCGCUGAAACAAUAUAAAAUGGAUAAUGAGGAAGACAAACCCGCCAAAGAUAAUGGCAC